AAAACAACAGUUAUGAGAACAGUCUGAUGGAAACACUGCAACUGGAUUCCUCUUCAAGGUUUUUAUGUAAUGAGGAGAAGGGGUUCAUGAUCAACCUUGCUUGAUGGCUGAGACCUGCUUUGGAAAAAUGAGGCAAAUGUGCUCAGGCUCUGAAAGAGGGAGAAUUUGUCUUCUGAUACACAUUUCUAUCUUCAGAAAUUCCUGACAAUCUUCAGCCCUGUUAAAGUAUGAAAAAUAUGUCACUAGUGUUGACUGACUCAAUACAGAGGCUAUUAAUUAAUAAACAUAAUUACACGCUGCCUCUAUGGUAUUUAUCGGAGCUAGACAGUGAAGGAACUUCCAGGAAGAACCUGAAGCUUUGCCUUGAUUCUGUCAAUGGUCAGGACCUGGAUGACCUCAAAUACUCCAUGCAGGGGCCAGAGAGCCACAAGGUCCUUGUCCUCUCAGCUCUAACACCGGAGACCAAGGCCAGUACAUCUGACUUCAAGAUUUUCAACUUUUUAAAUAUUCAGAAGAGCCCUGGAUGACAAGCAAGCAGGAAUUAGUCACGGGAAAUUAGGGACCAAAGAAUUCAAGUAAUUGAUUCAGAUUUACAGCAGGAGCAAGACUGAAUUUGUCUACAUUUUUAGUCCAGAAGUCCUGGAAUGUGGAAAGAAUGAGAACCCUUCAUCCUGGAAUGCACCACCUCGAAGUUACUCAUGUGGGGGAGUUUCGAGGGAAGAGAGUAGAAUCUUAAGAGAAAUGAACAAGCACUGCAAGAACAAAAAUGAUUGGUGGGAUUGUGCUGUGGUGCCAAAAAGGUUGCAUGCUGAAGAGUUUGCAUUUCCUAGAGACAAGAAAGUAGGGCUUUGCUGGGAAAUCCUGAAUUUCUCAACGCCGGCGGUCAGUUAUUAAACUGAGUUUUUACAGGAAA